UGGGGAAUUUUGGACAAUGGGCGCAAGCCUGAUCCAGCCAUGCCGCGUGCGGGAAGAAGGCCUUCGGGUUGUAAACCGCUUUUGUCAGGGAAGAAAUCUUCUGAGUUAAUACCUCGGGAGGAUGACGGUACCUGAAGAAUAAGCACCGGCUAACUACGUGCCAGCAGCCGCGGUAAUACGUAGGGUGCAAGCGUUAAUCGGAAUUACUGGGCGUAAAGCGUGCGCAGGCGGUUUUGUAAGACAGAGGUGAAAUCCCCGGGCUCAACCUGGGAACUGCCUUUGUGACUGCAAGGCUUGAGUGCGGCAGAGGGGGAUGGAAUUCCGCGUGUAGCAGUGAAAUGCGUAGAUAUGCGGAGGAACACCGAUGGCGAAGGCAAUCCCCUGGGCCUGCACUGACGCUCAUGCACGAAAGCGUGGGGAGCAAACAGGAUUAGAUAGCCCUGGUAGUCCACGCCCUAAAACGAUGUCAACUGGUUGUUGGGAAGGUUCCUUCUCAGUAACGUAGCUAACGCGUGAAGUUGACCGCCUGGGGAGUACGGCCGC
rnacentral:rRNA from 1 species